GUGGUUGUAGCUCAGUGGUAGAGCGCUUGCCUAGCAGGUGUGAGGCACUGGGUUUGGUCCUCAGCACUCACC
rfam:Ictidomys tridecemlineatus contig020662, whole genome shotgun sequence.